rnacentral:rRNA from 1 species
UACAGAGGGGGCAAGCGUUGUUCGGAAUUACUGGGCGUAAAGGGCGCGUAGGCGGCCUGCUAAGUCGAACGUGAAAUCCCCGGGCUCAACCCGGGAACUGCGUCCGAUACUGGCAGGCUUGAAUCCGGGAGAGGGAUGCGGAAUUCCAGGUGUGAGCGGUGAAAUGCGUAGAUAUCUGGAGGAACACCGGUGGCGAAGGCGGCAUCCUGGACCGGCAUUGACGCUGAGGCGCGAAAGCCAGGGGAGCAAAGCGGG